AUGGAUGGCCCAGCAGCAAACACUAAAAAGGAGCUGCCCAAAAGAGCAAGAAAACCCAAAGAAGAAGAAACGUGUCUAUGAACCAGCCCCUGACUCACCUAGAGAUGACCAAGAUGAGGAGUGCCAAAAUGCUGUAGUAUUUGGGAAACACGGAAAGGUGCCAGAUGGAAAGACAGUCCUGGAUCAGUCCAAAGUCAGUGGAAUUCUAACUUACAUCAUGCGCUGUAGUGCACUGGAUGGAUGGACACCGGUUGAGAAAAGUAAGGUCUAAAAAGCUGUCAUAAACAAAUGUCCCAUGAGAGCUACAAACACAUGGACAAUUGAUGAGAUGACCAUGUUUAAAAAAAGCCCUUAUAUACAAUGCUGCAUGAUGGGCCUUAAAGAAGUUGUUGAAUGUUGUGUGUUGUAAAGCUGUGCUGAUACUUCUCGAAACAUUGUUAGAGACACUGUUUGUCCAUGUCUGUGUACUGAAAAAUGUAGUUUUACUGAUAAGAGGCACAUUUAUGGUUCCGAUUUUAUAAGGAUGACAAUGGUGGAGUAGCCUUAGCUGUUGUUGAAGUGCUAACAUGUUAUUACAGCUAUCAUAAAUACUCA